rnacentral:Y_RNA from 1 species
GGCUGGUCCGAUGGUAGUGGGUUAUCAGAAUUUAUUAACAUUAGUGUCACUAAUGUGGGUCUACAACCUCCCCACUGCUAAAUUUGACCAGCUAAAU